UACGGAGGGUGCAAGCGUUAAUCGGAAUUACUGGGCGUAAAGCGCGCGUAGGCGGCUGAUUAAGUCGGAUGUGAAAGCCCCGGGCUCAACCUGGGAACUGCAUACGAUACUGAUCAGCUAGAGUAUGAGAGAGGGAGGUAGAAUUCCACGUGUAGCGGUGAAAUGCGUAGAUAUGUGGAGGAAUACCGGUGGCGAAGGCGGCCUCCUGGCUUAAUACUGACGCUGAGGUGCGAAAGCGUGGGGAGCAAACAGG
rnacentral:rRNA from 1 species